rnacentral:rRNA from 1 species
UACGGAGGGAGCGAGCGUUGUCCGGAUUCAUUGGGCGUAAAGAGCUCGUAGGCGGCUUGAUAAGUCGGAUGUGAAACCUACAGGCUCAACCUGGAGUCGCCAUCCGAUACUGUCAUAGCUAGAGUCCGGUAGGGGCCCACGGAACUCCUGGUGUAGCGGUGAAAUGCGCAGAUAUCAGGAAGAACACCAGUGGCGAAGGCGGUGGGCUGGGCCGGUACUGACGCUGAGGAGCGAAAGCGUGGGGAGCGAACAGG